rnacentral:rRNA from 1 species
GACGAACGCUGGCGGCGUGCUUAACACAUGCAAGUCGAGCGGAGCGGCGAACGGGUGAGUAACGCGUGAGUAACUGCCCCCCUCUCUGGGAUAACAGUUGGAAACGGCUGCUAAUACCGGAUAGUGGGGGAUGUGUCGCGUCCUAUCAGCUUGUUGGUGGGGUAGGGGCCUACCAAGGCGACGACGGGUAGCCGGCCUGGGAGGGCGACCGGCCACAUGGGGCUGAGGUACGGCCCAGACUGCAACGGGGGGCAGCAGUGGGGAAUAUUGCCCAGUGGGGGAGACCCUGAUGCAGAAGCGCCGCGUGCGUGAUGACGGCCUUCGGGUUGUAAACCGGUUUCAGCCAUGACGCGGUAGUGGCAGAAGAAGCACCGGCUAACUACGUGCCAGCAGCCGCGGUAAUAC